rnacentral:rRNA from 1 species
AUGAUAGCCAAAUCUAUUGAUGAUGCCAUGCAGCUUUCACAUAGCUAUGGGUUUCAGCAGAGGGAUUUUGGACAUACUGUUAUUCUUUUUGUUUUAAGCAUUAUCAGAAUAUUGACUGAUUGUAUUUUGGAAGAUUGGGGCACUCCAAGUAUCUCUAAUAAGGAACAUGACAAUAUUUGUGCCAUUGGAGUAAACACGCAUAGGGAUUUAGAUGGCAAGGGGAGUCCGCUUGACAUGAGAGAUAAGCACCGUGAACAACUAUGGAGGAAGAAUAAACUCAUGACUUUAGAAGUUGUUGAGCAGAUCACUGCUAACAAAAAUGCCCAAGUAUUUCUUCGGCUUGUCUAUCUUAACACGGUAGACCUGAAAAUUUCAAAAGUUUGCUUCAGAGAGUUCAACUUACUGUUGCCCUUAAAUCAAAGAAUUUUGCAUCCGCAAAUACUCUGCUAG